UGUCCUUCUGCCUCUACAGCUCUCUGCCCCAGUCUCCCCCUUCUAUGAAAUGGUUAAAAACCCUUUUACUCACUUACCUGACUCAAUUUCCGAUGUCCCUCGGACGUCAGCGUGCAUCAGACCACAAAGGCAUCAAUUCUUUCUAAUGGGGCUUCUAAAGACACUGGAUAUUCUCAUGCACAGCUUGAGGACUUCCUGCAGUUUCACAUAGUUUAACUCCAUAAAACGAUGCUUGAAACACCUCUAGUGGCUGUCUCCAAGACAGCGCUAGAGGUUGU